GGAGGUUCAUUAGAAGUAACGAGUUGACACAAGGUAAAUCUUAAUGUUGAGGCGCCUUUCUUUACCGGCCCGGGGAGGAGCCCUCAUUAACUGUCGCUAACAACCCGUGUAAAUACACUGAUUGGACAGCUCCGAUACAAGCUCCGAGCCCUGCCAGGAAGUGUCCCUAAUGAGACCACACAAUAAAAA
rfam:Takifugu rubripes chromosome, Chr_4